rnacentral:scRNA from 1 species
CCGCCGGCCAAAAGGCGUUUGCCCUCAUGUAU